AUUGAACGCUGGCGGCAGGCCUAACACAUGCAAGUCGAACGAGAGGCGGGCGGGUGAGUACUGUAUGGGCCCCUGCCUGAUGGAUGACUAUACCUACUGGAAACUGUUGCUACUACCGCAUACCAUCAGCUGUGCCCAGAUGGGGUUAGCUUGUGGGGGGGGUAACGGCUCACCAAGGCGACGAUCCCUAGCUGGUCUGAGAGGAGGACCAGCCACACUGGAACUGAGACACGGCCCAGACUCCUACGGGAGGCAGCAGUGGGGAAUAUUGGACAAUGGGCGAAAGCCUGAUGCAGCCAUGCCGCGUGUGUGAAGAAGGCCUUCGGGUUGUAAAGUACUUUCGGCGGGGAAGCGGUACCCGCAGAAGAAGCACCGGCUAACUACGGGCCAGCAGCCGCGGUAAUAC
rnacentral:rRNA from 1 species